AAUAUUGGACAAUGGGGGCAACCCUGAUCCAGCCAUGCCGCGUGUGUGAAGAAGGUCCNCGGAUUNUNAUGCACUUUAAGUUGGGNGGAAGGGCUUUAGGCUAAUACCAUGAAGUUUUGACGUUACCAACAGAAUAAGCACCGGCUAACCCUGUGCCAGCAGCCGCGGUAAUACAGAGGGUGCAAGCGUUAAUCGGAAUUACUGGGCGUAAAGCGAGAGUAGGUGGUUCAGGAAGAUGGGUGUGAAAGCCCCGGGCUUAACCUGGGAACUGCUUUCAUAACUGCUGAGCUAGAGUACGGUAGAGGGUAGUGGAAUUUCCUGUGUAGCGGUGAAAUGCGUAGGUAUAGGAAGGAAAACCAGUGGCGAAGGCGACUACCUGGACUGAUACUGACACUGAGGUGCGAAAGCGUGGGGAGCAAACAG
rnacentral:rRNA from 1 species